UACAGAGGGGGCGAGCGUUGUUCGGAAUUACUGGGCGUAAAGGGCGCGUAGGCGGCCAACUAAGUCGGACGUGAAAUCCCCAAGCUCAACUUGGGAACUGCGUCCGAUACUGGAUGGCUUGAAUCCGGGAGAGGGAUGCGGAAUUCCAGGUGUAGCGGUGAAAUGCGUAGAUAUCUGGAGGAACACCGGUGGCGAAGGCGGCAUCCUGGACCGGU
rnacentral:rRNA from 1 species